CAGGAAUUUCGUAAAGAUGAAACUUUUCGUUUUUAUGAAAGCAAAAUAUGUCAAUUUAAGUAUCUAAAAGCAGUUGCAUCAGAACAUACCACGCUAGCAGAUCGUAUGACUGGUAAAGCCAAUAAAUUGAGUUGCUAUGUUUCAGCAUUUGCCAACCGUAACGGAGGUCAUAUCUACUAUGGUAUCACUGAUGAUGGAGUUGUUGAAGGAGAGUUGAUUCCUAAUGAGGAGGACAUCAUUGAAAUAACAAAUAAAGUUGAGGAAGUCAUCGAAGAAAUGAUCUGGCCUGAGCAUAUAGGUCAACCAGAAC